CUUACCCUCCCCCCAAUUAAUUCCUAUGCUUUAAUACCAUCUAAGAGUCCUUAGUGAGAAGAGGAUCUGCUUGCUAUGCAGGUGCAAGUUUUCAGCACCACAGCACAACAGCAAUGCCACCCGCUCUGCCCUCCUCAGGGCUUCUCUUUGUGAGCCACUUUUUCUUUUCUUCCUUUUCAGCUCCGUGCUGAACAACCCCAUGCAGAUAAUCUGAUUAUGCUAAUUUGUACUUCAUGAACCCAAAGGAAAGGGAUCUGCGGAGGAAAAUCUGAAAGGAGACAGGACCUGACCUUCUGUAGGAAAACUGGAAAAGAAGGAGGGUAACCAGAGUGAUGAAGCUGGAAGGUGCAGAAAGAUAAAGGCUCCUUGCGGUCACUGCCAUGUUCAUUUCCCUCCCUCUCCUCCCACGAGCACAUACAAGGUAGCCUGAGUAGUUUUCACUGCCUGGCAAUGAAACGGAUGCCACUCGGUGGGGAUAAACCAGUACUG